GUUAACAAACAAAAAGGGGCCAAAGGUAACGCAUCCCAUCUGACCUUGGAAGCUAAGUUUGGUCAGCCCUGGUUUAGUACUUGGAUGAGAGACUGCCAAUGAAUACCUGGUGCUGUAGGCU
rnacentral:rRNA from 11 species